rnacentral:rRNA from 1 species
GACGUAGGAGGCGAGCGUUGUCCGGAUUCAUUGGGCGUAAAGAGCACGCAGGCGGUUUGGCAAGUCGGAUGUGAAAACCCGAAGCUCAACUUCGGGCCUGCAUCCGAAACUGCCCGACUAGAGGUAGGUAGGGGAGAUCGGAAUUCCUGGUGUAGCGGUGAAAUGCGCAGAUAUCAGGAGGAACACCGGUGGCGAAGGCGGAUCUCUGGGGCCUUACCUGACGCUCAGGUGCGAAAGCUAGGGGGAGCGAACAGG